rnacentral:lncRNA from 1 species
GAAUUAAGAAGAUUCCCAGACAUCAGCAUAAACCUCCUUCCCCCUCCCUCUCUGACCCAGGCUCGACUAUGACAUCACAUAGUAAAGGCUGUUUUUCUGAAAAGAACCCAACCAAAUUUACAAGAAUGACACUCAGACAGCGUGACUGAGGAGGACCAUUGCCAAGUGACCAUAGCACACGCCCUUCAGUUUUGAGAACAGAGCUGGUCCCUCAGCACCUGGGGCUGACUCAUCGUUGCUGUCAGGACCCAAUGACAGAUGCCAAGAUUGCUCUCUCCCUCCCCCUGUUCCUCAGGGAUGUCCUAUAAAACCAUCCCCAGGAACACUUCUGUCCUAUCCCAGCACCCCAGGAGCUGGAUGUUGUAUAACAUGGUGUACUCAUGUUCAUUUACCAAAUCAUGCCAAGUGCUUAAUGCUUCAUACAAAUUGUUUCAUUUAAAACUAAUAUCCCUAUUAAAUUAGAUAUUAGGAAGGGAUAAGGAAGACUGGUCAGAAAGACAACCAGAUAGGGAUCCUGGCACAGAAAGCCUUCCCCACUGUGUACUUCCCCUCUCUUCACUGUGCUUGCUUCACUGAAGUCUUGUCAUGUCCUUUCCCUUAAUUAAGACCUUAGGGGCUGGGGUUGGUUGUAGCUCAGUGGUAAAGUGCUUGCCUCACAUAUGUGAGGCACUGGUUUUGAUCCGCAGCACCACAUAAACAUAAAGAUACUGUAUGUUCAUCUACAACUAAAAAAAUUUUUUAAAAAAGACCUUAGUGCAUUAGAUGGACAACGAAGAAAAAAAAAACUAUGACAUGAAAUAAAUUGUUUUCUAGAUCAUAACAAGAAUCCAAUGUAUGUUAAACAAAUACAAUGCUCAUAGACCAUGUGUAUUAAAUGUGUGGUGUCUAUAAUAUAAAGCUUAAGUAAUAUAAAGGCAAUAUUUUCCUCAUUCCUAAAAUGGGAAUAAUAAUAAUAAUAUCUCUUUUUUAAUAUUUAUUUUUUUAGUUGUAGUUGGACA